GAAAUGCGAUAAGUAAUGUGAAUUGCAGAAUUCAGUGAAUCAUCGAAUCUUUGAACGCACCUUGCGCUCCUUGGUAUUCCUUGGAGCAUGCCUGUUUGAGUAUCAUGAAAUCUUCAAAGUAAAUCUUUUGUUAACUCAAUUGGUUUCUACUUUGGUAUUGGAGGUCUUUGCAGCUUCACACCUGCUCCUCUUUGUUCAUUAGCUGGAUCUCAGUGUUAUGCUUGGUUCCACUCGGCGUGAUAAGUUAUCUAUCGCUGAGGACACUGUAAAAGGUGGCCAAGGUAAAUGCAGAUGAACCGCUUCUAAUAGUCCAUUGACUUGGACAAUACUUUUAUGAUCUGAUCUAAAAUCAGGUAGGACUACCCGCUGAACUUAAGCA
rnacentral:misc_RNA from 1 species